ACAGCUAAGAGUUUUACUUGGCAUGCUGCUAGAAAAUCAAUUGACGGUCAGAUGUCUCAUCCGGCGGAUUCCCCGUCUUGGAAACUUCUUGAUGAUAAAUGGCCUGAGUUUGGUAAUGAGCCGAGAAACUUGAGAUUGGCUCUUUCAUCUGAUGGAUUCAAUCCCCACAGUUCUCUAAGUAGCAGAUAUAGUUGUUGGCCG
rnacentral:lncRNA from 1 species